rnacentral:sRNA from 1 species
ACCCAGUCCGCGAGAACCGGGCAGAUCGC